CCCCCAAAAUGCUUCCAUUGGUUUCCAACACGGAUGCGGUCUACUGUGUCGUAUGAGCGGAUGCGACGCGUGAACACCGGUCGGCACUGCCGACGCUCUGCUGCGCAGGGACAUCUUUGUUGGCACCGCGUCAGACGCGGUAACACAAUGCCACCCAUGGUCUCCUCGCGCUAACCCCGUAGCGUGUGGUUUUUAGCGGGCUCCGAGCCCGCUUUUUUUU
rnacentral:ncRNA from 21 species